rnacentral:lncRNA from 1 species
UUUUGAAAUGUUGUGAAUCGAUGAUAUAGUGACAUUCAUCCAGUUCCAACUCCUCAUCUGCAUCAUCCAAGGAAUCUGCUGAUUGGCAACCCUCAAAACCAUUAGGGAGAGGAAUCAAUGGGGACAGAAAAUCUGGAUCCUUGGCAGGUUUACAUCCAUUUAUGCACACAAAUUUCUCUUGAUGCCACUCAACUUGAACGUUAUGCUCACUGCAAAGCUUGGCUGCCUUAAGGUACAAACAUUCAGGUAACAUGCCAUACUUUUCUUCCAAUGAGGCUUUAAGGCUCACUUUGCAACAAGAAGAGCGAGCAAUAGACAGAAUGUCCAGGUUAUUAGGCCGUGGUUUUGUUUUAUGAGUUCUGGAAAACAAUAUUUUUGCAAGGGCAGAGCACUGCGGUUCUGCUAAUCUACCAAGAUUUGAAUUCUCCAUAACAUGAGGCUCUGCACUAAUGAUUUCAGCAUCAAUCAACUUUGAUGCCUGGAGGCGUUUUUUCAUAGUAGCAGUUGCCCGAUUCCUAAUCCUAUAUGACACUGCCCCCAGACCUUUCUUAAAUCUAGGAUGGCUAAGUCUCCCAGAUUUUAGUUUAUAAGCAUAAUAACGAACCCCUUUCUUUGGAGGACGAGAGCUAGCUAAACUUGGUCCCAUGUGAGCAGCCUGGUGGUGGCGGCCAAGAUCAGGCAGCAAAUCAAAUUUCAAGCCACAAAACCUGCAAAUAAAUUUUUGAACACUGCCUACAUUCUCUGAAUUAUUCUCCAAAGAAGCUGAAUUUCCGAGCUCAAGUUUCAGUGGAGGUUCCUCACCCGCAGAUGGAUUAUGCUGUAGAGCAAUCUUUGACAGCCUAAAAUCAACAGGAUGAGUGGACAGCACAUGCAACCAUAAUUCCUCAGUAUUGCCAAAAUGGCUGCCACAGGAAAUGCAUCGUAGAAGCAUGCACUGUUCGACAAAUUGUACAUGGUGCCUCUCCUGGACAUGGGAUUCCAAAACCUUCUUGUUAAUAAAUGAAUCCAGGCAGAUUGCACAAGCAUAACCUCUAAACAACCGUUGUGCUUCCUUUUUAUGAUUCUCCAUCCAGUGUGUUCCAAGCUGCUGGUCAUCAAGAAAUUCCACAGAGCACAUUUUGCACUUAAUAGUCUUGUCAUCAUCAAAGCUAUCAUUGAUGGCCAAUGGCAAUGGAACAGGUUCUUCCAUGAAAGAUGACGAAGGUGUACCUUUAUCACCAGUGAAACCCCAUAAACUUUGCAGUCUCUCCUUUUCACUGUAUACCAACUUCAUUAACAAUUCCCCAACUCUAAAGUCUUUUGAUGCUUCAGAAAGGGCCCACUGAAGUUGGACAUCCACAGGAACAGGGUUUCUUAGAGAUAAAAUACUUUUGAAGAGCUUGUAGAAAAGUUCACAUGCUUGAUGUAAAUGCAAUUUCUGCUCAAGUGAAUCACAGUCUUUCAAAAGAUCUACAAACACCUCUCUGGAUACUAUCCUACUCUUUCCAUUUCUUGCACGCUUGAGCCAGCUUGGAAGGUGUUUAUCACAGUAUAAUGAAUGCCUCUUAGGACUUUCUUGACAAGGAUCAAAACCAUUAUUGGAGUAUAAGCCUAUGCAAUGCAUUAAUUCUGUGCCAUCAUGAUCUUUACCAGAAUGUUCAGGCUUCUCGAUUAAGCUGUUUCCUCUGUGCAAGGCAUCAGCCUCAAUUACCGAUACUGGUUCCACCUGCAAGGGACUUUCAUUGUCUCCCACCAACACUAUAUCUCUGCAUAAUGUGGUUUCUGAACUCUGAAUAAUCUCCAGAUGCUUCCUUUUCUGGGUGUGCUCUGGAGAAUGGGAGCUAUUAUUUACAUCACUUUUAGGUCUGUGUUUCUUGCAGAAUGAGGAGCCAUAUAGCGACCGAUGCUUACAUCUAGUACCAAGCACGGUGGUACCUUCACACAUUGGUGUAUCAACAGCGGGUGUCGCCUCUAUUUUGCUGAAGCUACCAGUAAAACGAGAUGCCAAGUGCACACAACAAUAAACAUCCCCCUCAUUUGCCCACCUCACACACUGCCUUCCUUUUGACUCUAUGAACGCUGUGCACUGUCGGUUUUUACUCCCAGAAUCUAUGGAUUUCUUAGCAACUGCUUCAUUCACAGGUGUUAAUUCCACUUCUUUAGGCUGAAUGUGCAGAGUUGAGGUAGUCUUGACCUCUUCACUUGCUGUUGUUAUUUCAACAUUCUUGGUGUGAAUGACUUCCGGAUGCCUUGCUUCAACAACAAUAUUAUUCCAUCUGUCAGUCAAACUAUUUGACGUGUCCAUUGGUGUUGUUUCCUCUCUCUCAUCUUCCUUUUUACAGUGUUGUGGCGUUGGUAAAUUGACAUCUACAGCAUCUCGGUUACUAAAAAAAUCAGAGUCAAUUUCAACAGCCAUAGUUUGAUCCGACCCAUUGCUUUGCACCAUGGAGGCAUGUGUAUCUGCACGACGAACUUCAAGCUUGGCCCUCUUCCUGCUAACUUGUAUAUUUGUGUUUGAGAGACCAUCACUGCUCCGUUGAUUGACAUCUCCAGCAGAAGAUACCGGAUGAGACGUCGAGAACCAUUUCAUAACUUCAUGCUUCCAAGUUUUCCACUCAGAACCAAGUGUGGGCUGUACUGAUGCAUCUCCAAGAGACUUAACCUCAUUCCAUAGUAUGGCAUCAUACAAUUCCUGAAACAACAGCAAAGAGAAAAAUUACUUGUCAACAUGCACCAUGCAACUGAUGCAUUAAUGAACAGUCCGUGACCUAAAGGAUCAAAUUGACUAUGCAAUCCUAAGAACACUCUGCCCAGGAAAAAAAAAAAAGGUUCAGCAACUGAUGCACAGGACCACUUGUUUGCGUAUACAGAAUGUUCGGGUUAGCAGUAAAACCUUUACUUCCAAACCUAAAGGUCAAGGGAAGAAGGUUCCUUUCCUUUCCUUUUCUUCUUUUAGGUGAUAAGGGAGAGGCGGCAGUCAAUUUUAGGUAACAGAAAUUCUACAAUGAUGAGAAGACCACUUGUGAAUUUCAAUCAACAUAACUAUUUCACUAUGCACUGAUAAUAACAUAAACGGGCACGAAUAGAGUGAGACAUACUUCCUUUAGCAAUUCAACGGAUUCAGCACUAUGUGCAUUCUGACAUUGUUGCACCCACGAAUGAAGAGACUCUUGAAGCCACUCAGCAUUUAUAUAGCACGGCAAUAUCAUCUGUAGAGAAUAGAAAUAUUACCAUUUACAUUUUUAAUGCAUGUAAAAGAAGAGAACAGUGGAGAUAGAGAUGGAUUAGAUGAAAGGUUACAGUGGAGAUAACACAGUGGUUAUGAUAUACAAUAUAGAGAUAGAUAUAAUUACAGGUAAUAACAAGGCAAGACAACUGAAAACAAAUGAAUCUAUUAUACAGAAAUAGAGAUCUAGUAGAAAUAAUGCUAUCAGAAUUAUUUCCUGUAAUGAUAUCUAUUUCUAUUAUAGAUUCAUUUUUUUUCAAUUGUCUUGCCUUGUUAUUUCCUGUAAUGAUAUCAAUUCCUAUAGACUUGAUUCCUAUAUAUAUUUAUAUAUAAAUUUUAUUUUGAGAGAUAAUGAUAUAUUAUAUCAAAAAAGUGAAUAAGCAUGUGGAAUGUUUUUAUUUUAUUUUUUCGUUCUUUUGGCUAUUAAGAGUGGAUAGAUUUAGAGGAGGGGAUAUUUAAAAAAAAAAAAAAAAAAAGAUUUUUCAUAAAAUUCUUAUCUGACAUAAUUAUCCUUUCAUUCUUUUUAUUUUAAUUUAAUAACUUGGGUUUUUCGUAGUUUCACCAACUAAGUAGAUGUCAUGAACCAAUGAGGAACUCUAUAUAUGAUAUAGAUGUCAAGUAAAGGAUUUACAGUUUGAAGUUUCAAAAGCAUUUUUCCAAGAUCAGAGUAACCAUUGCAGCGUGAAGCCUCCAUAGCGAAAUCCUUCCAGACAACCACAUUACGUGCUGCUUCAAUCAAAGCCUACACAAAUAGGAAUAGAAUUCUGGUAAGAAUAGAGCUGAGGAAUUGAGGAAAUAUAUUAAAUACACAAGAAUUAUAAAGAUGAAAAAGAAAACAAUACCUCAACAUGGAACUGAUCAAUUAUAUUCAGCAUGCCAACAGCUAGCUUUUGCUGUAUGUACCGCCUAGCAACGGUCAAAUCUCUAACCAUUUUAAGUCCAACUUUAUGACUCCGAUAUGCAAUAGGCUGAGGGAACUCACUAAUGGAUCGGACAAGUAACAUGUCUGCCCAAGAAUAAUUCCUCGUGUGAGGGAAAAAUAUCACAAAAUACUGCUUUCGAUCAUGGGUCGGUUUUGCUUUUAAAGUUGAUAAUGGCCAGUCAGCCCUUGCACAUCUGAUUCCAGCCUGCCAUUUUCCUCUCCACUAUACUUGGAGAAACAAAAGAGUAUCAUAUGUAAAUAAAUUUAGCAUGCAUCCUUAUCUUCUAGAAAAUUGCAAAUAAUAAAAUGGUAGCAAACUAUUUCUAGAAAAUGAGAGAAAAAAAAAACAAUAUACAUAUAUUAAUAGGAGACCACAUAAAGGAAUUAUCAAGGGAAUUUAAGAGGUCAAAUGGAUAAUCCAUAAAGCACACAAAUAAAUCAUUUCCAAGACAAUAAAUGUAGAGCAUGUCGUGAGAGAACGUGAUAGAAACUGUUGCUGUAAUGCAAGUCAAAACCAUAACAUUAUAUGAAAUCUGGCAUUUCAAGGAAGUGAAAGCUAAAAGAAGAAAUGCUACCUUGACCCAUAAUGCAACAGAUUCAUCAUGCUCUAACCACUUAGGCUCUGAAAGAGACAACUCUCCCUCCCUGUUGUUGAUUGGUGAUUCACUCUCGAUGGUGUUAACGAGGACAUGAGAGUUUUCAGAGGUCAAAUAAGGUCCAGUGCAACAAUUCUGAGCAUUCAAAUCAUCAUAUUCAUCAUCAUGUGAUCCGCAAGAUAAUCUUUGGCCUUCUGCCUGACAAUCAUAAUAUGAAGAUCCACUAUGAUGGUCCUCUGAAAUUGGUAAUUCAACCCUUGUACCUUGACCUUCAUCCUGUCUUCCUUCUUGAUUCCCUUCAUUAGUCAGUAAUAAGUCAUCCAUCCUACUAUCUGCCACUUGAACUUGUUUCUUCUGUUCCAAGCAAUUAGAUUCUCGGUCAUAAGUAAAAGUUGCUUCUGGACUCAGUUGAGCACAAUCAGAAUCCGCAACAUACUGAACACCAGAGCAGGGCAGCACUUCCAUGAUACAACCUGGAAUCUCUAAAGCAGUAUAAUGUGCAUAUAAACAUUGAUUAUCCCCCAAAAUCACUUUACUGUCCAAACAAAGUUCAAUCCAGGCAAGAGUAAGAUGCUGCAAAAGAAACCUUGUCAAAAUAUAUACUGAAAAUUGAAUAUACAUAUGUAUAUAUGUAUGUAUGGAUGACAUAGUCUAUGUAGGACUGAAAGAAAGACAGAACAAAGAUACCAAUUACACUUGAACAUGAACACGUAAAAAGCACAUAUAUGCAUGCAUGAAUGUGCUUCAUGCAAUGUAAAAUGGACAUAGGGCUUGAUGUUUCAUUUAUGCAAACAUAUAAAUUGGGGUCAAAUGACCAGCUCAACAAGGUCAUAAUCACUGCACUAUUUACGACUUUAAAUAACAUAACUUCUUCCAUGUUGCUUAACCUAAAGGUCUUUCGUCAGCAUUGGAUUCAUUAGCUCUAACUCCUUUUUCCAGAAACUUAUAAAUUUCUAAAACACCCUGGAUCAAGAACAAAAUUCAUAGCCAAUUUUUAAUCAAUCCGUUCAUAAUUUUAAUCGCAUUUCUUGAACAAAGUUGCACUCUUUUUAUCAUUAUCAGUCAUUUCAUUCUGUUUCUAAAGAAAUAAGUUUAACAAAGUGCUAAUCUUUUCUAUAAAUUUUUUAAAAAAAAAAAGGAUAAACCCUUUUAUUAGGUAAAGAAAAAUCAACCAAUUGCUUCAAUAUGAGAAUCAAAUUGAAAGCCAUCAAAAAGGAAAAAGCUUUCAAGGAACUUCAAAGAUACCUUAGUUUAAUAAUGUAUUAAUUAGUAAUAUAAAACCCAUUUAGUUAAUUUAUCAAAGCGUAAGGUUCCUGGAACAAUCUAUGCUAUUUCUCCGUAGAAAAACUUCACUAAGGCUAGCUAGACCCCAGAUCUUAAAAUGCAUCUCAAAAACCAAAAUUUCCAAGAGAAAAGGUCCAAACCAACAAAACCCAGAAACAAAAACGCCACAAAACCCUAACAUAAUCAGCAAAUUUCAUCCUUCAUUAAUUUGGUAGUAACAAUAAUAAUAACCCCCCCAAAAGAAAAUAUUUCCUUUCAUUAGAUUCACAUUCUGUAAGAACCCACCAUGGCCUAGACAUAUCAUCAAAAUGUUGACUAACAUUCUAGGUGUGUCCAAAUUCCAGAUGAUACAAGUAAACACAUACACAUAUACAUGAUCCCCAAAUCAUAAAACAAGUAUCUAAGAACGUAAGAACAAUUAAUAUCCUGAAAUUUUGGCUAAAAUUGCAAGAAAAAAAUAAAAGGGUUCAUUACUUUUAAGAUAAUGGGUUAGUUCCCCAGGGAGAUGGGGGAGUUUAGGUAAGUAAACAAUACGCAUAACAAAGAGCAGCUGCUAGGUCACAGAAGAGGGGUAAAGAAUUAGAAAUUGACUGCAAAAAUGUUACAUAAACAUACUAAUAUCCAUAACUUAGGAGAUAAAGAAAAAAAAAGGGGGGGUGGCUAAUGUAUUUUUACCUUCUACAUAAAAAAGUGUUAAAUGGAUGAUCACCCAAUGUUUAUUUUCCAUGGUUGUUGGUUUUUUGGUUAGGCAAAUGAGAUUCGAGAAAAGGGUUUCAUUCUUUUUAGAAAGGGGAAUUGGGUGUUGAUGAGGUUAUACAUAUAAAUAUAUAUAUAUAUAUAUAUGUGGUUCAUGAGUCGUGAUAUAGAGGGGAAUUGGGCAUUGUCCCCGUGGCCAAAAUCAAAACUAACAUGAAAACAACAACAAAGGGAAACACAUGUAAACAGAUAACAAUAAGACCCUUACCUAAUCUCAAACAGGUUUUUGGUCUGUAUACGGCCCUUUGCUUGUGUUCUGGUUCAGUAAUUUUAUCAUACAAUGAGGGGUCAAAAUCCAAAAAACUAGACUUCGGGGUUUUUUCUUUCUUGGACUUGACUUUGGGUGUUGUUUUAAAACUUUAAAAAAGUAUAUAAAAUUGGUUUAAUGGUGGAAGGGCAUAGAGAUUUGCGAUAAAUUGGUAAAGAUAGAGAAAAUUUUGAUGAGAUUUGAGAAAGCAAGAGAGAGAGAGAGAGAGAUCAGAUUUGGUUUUCAAUUUAUUAAUUGAUGUGCGAAAUUGUGGUGCGUCUCUUAUGUUUUUGGUUACCGUGAGAAGUCUAUUUAUGGUCGAAUUUUAUAAAAGGUCCUUGUACUAUGUAGUUUUGAUUGAUUUAAUUCUUAUUAUCUUUUUAUUUUUUCUGUCAAAUCUGAUCUUUUAGGGUAAAUUAUCUCCAAAGUCACUAAACUAUUAGUAAGUUUACGUUUUGGUCACUCAACUUCAAAAAGUUACAAAAUGAUCACUGAAUUAUUCGAAUGUUUACAUUUAAGUCAUUAAACCAUUCAAAAGUUUUGUAAAUUACUUAAGUCAUUUACAAACUUUGUUUUUGAAUUUCUAACACUAGAAAAUAACUUUAGAUGUGAUCAAGGUGAUCUUUUUGCAAAAUUUGAUUAAGGGAAUUUUAGAAUUUUAUUUUGUUAUAUCAAAACAUUUAAUUAUUAAGGGAAUUUUAAAAUUUUAUUUUGUUAUAUCAAAACAUUUAAAAAUCAAAGCUAACACAUUUUAAGGGGAAAAGUCAUUUUUUUUUAAAAUAAAAACUUAUUUUUCCUUUAACAGUAAAUCAUUUUUUAUUAAUCAAGCUAUUUUUCAUAAAACAAACAUAAAAAAAUAUUAAAAAUGCAAAAAAAAAAUAUUUUUUGUAAGUCAUUUUCCAUAAAAGAGACAAAUGUCCAUUUAUCGUGCUUUUAUGAGGAUAUAUCAAUGAAAAUUGAGAUUAAAUCGUGAGUUGUAUAUUUUAUGAUACUAGUAAUGAACCCAAUGGACCGUUAGGCCAUUUAAUAUGAAAUUUCACUGGUCAACACUUAAUACUUUUUUAACCUUUUGAUUUUGCACUUUAUUUUUUAAUUAUGGUUUUAAUUUUUAAAGAUUUUAUUUUAUUAGGUUUAAAUUAAAAAUACAAUUAAUGUUUGCCGUUAAAAUGUUGAUGUGAACUUUUUAAAAAAAUAAUGUUAAUCAAGCGCUCGGUUGAUAUAUAAUCUAAAGAAGAUUAAUUUAUAGGUUAUUGAAGGUAAUUUUUUCAAAAUUUAUAUGAUAAAUUUAACGUGAAAGUUUACCAUUUUACCAAUAAAAGCUCAUUUUCAACUUUAUUUACGGAAAUGGGUCACUUUUUUAUUAUUUAUCGGAAAGGGCCGAAAACUGUAAAAUGCGUCCACGUAGGAGCGUUUUAGGGGGAAAUUCCAACAAAACGCGCCCUUGAGGGGGCGAUUUUGCCAUGUCAGCACAAAACGCGCUGACGUGGACGUGCUUUGCUAACGUGGCAAAAUUGCUCCCUUAGGGACGCGUUUUAGCCCUUGUUUUUCUAAGAUUAGGGCUAUUUGCAUGUUUAGUGCCUAGGGUUUGUAGGUUUAGGGUUUUAAGGUUGUAGUGUUAUUGUAUUGUUAAAAUAAUUUAGGGUUUUAUUUAUUUAAGGUUUUAAGAAUUUUAGAAAAUAAACCAGGGUUUAGAAUUUUUUUUAAAUUAAUUAAAUUAGGCUUUAAGGGUUUUAAAUAAAUUAAUUAAAUUAGGGUUUAGGGGUUUUAAAUAAAUUAAUUAAAUUAGGGUUUAUUUUUUAAAAUAAUUUUUGUGUUUAGCUUUUAGUGUUUUUGUAAAAGGGUUUAGGUUAAGGGUUUAGAGGGGUUUAUAUUGACAAUAAGGAUUUUGUUUUUUUUUCUACAGUAGUUUUAGAAAAAUUGAUUUUGAGAAGACGGUUCUGAAAAGAUAAUAUCAAAAACGGGUUUUUUACCCAAAUAUAUUAAAUAAUUUUAAAUACGUAAAUAGGUUGUCAGCUAGAUUAAUUACCGAAUGGUAUAUUUUUUUAAUCGCGCCUAUCUGACAAGCGCGAAUCAAUUUUUUAUAUUAUUUUUUUAAUAUCGCCUAUCUGAUAGGCGCGAAUCAAUUUUUUAUAUUAAUUUUUUUUGUUUAAUAAAAUAUUAUUAAUUUUUUUCCCAGAUCAGUAUAUAACCCAGAUAUAGAUACGAGGCGCGACUAGUUGAGCCUAUUUCAGAGGCGCGACUAGUUGAGCCUAUCUGGCAGGCACGACUAGUUGUGCCUAACUCAGAGGCGCGAAUGGUGGGGCCCAUUGCUGCUUAUUUUUUCCCCUAUAUAUACCCCUGAAAAUUAAAUAAGCACAGACAUAAAUUUUAGCAGAACGGAAAUAAGAAGAUAGGGAGAAGAAAAAAAAGAAAGGAAAACAAGAAGGAUAAGGUAUUUUGAUUUAUUUCUUUUUAAAUGGAAUGUAGAGUCUUGUUAGUAAUUUUAUUAUUUGAAAGCUAUUUUGUUAGGUUAUUAAUUUUGUUAGCUUCUCAAUGAAAAAUUUUGCAUUAAAAAUUUUAUGUAAUUUUUUUGCAUUUCGAAACUGUUUUAAGAAUUUUAAAUUUUUUUAACAGAUCUAGUAUUGAAGAUGGAGAAUCAGUUUUUUGUAUGCGUUUAUUUCGAUGGAGAAAUUUUGACAACAGCCGUAGGAUGUAUAUUUGAAUGUCGCAAACAAGUAGCAAUGAGAUUUAAUAGAAAUAUCUUGUUUGAUGAUAUAAAGGAAAAAAUUAGUGAAAAAAUUUAUAGACGUUGUAGGAGAAAGAUAUCAAAACUUUUCUACAAGUUUCCAGUUUCGACGGAUCCAAUAAAAUUUACCGAAAUGGAACUUGUAGACGAUGAAGACGUGGAGACAAUGGUCGCUCUUUAUUGUGGGACUCGGAGCAACCAAAAUGCACCGAUUCAGUUAUUUGCUGAGUUAGCUGGUGUGGAGGCAACUGAAGAUCCCACUCCAUUAGGUGAAGAAGAUGGAGUUCAAGAGUUGUGUAUGGUGGUUCCGGUAUCGUAUGUUGAUAGUCAAUCAACUAUACACGAGAUUGUUAUUGAUCUUAAUGUUGCACCCGAGACUGAUGUGGUUGGUGAUGAUGUAUACUAUAGUAGUGAUCCUGUUGAUCACGAAGUCGAUAGUGAGAGUGAUCCCGACGUGGACGAAGUCUCAGAUGAUAUUGACGACGAAGGCGUGAAUGAGGAUGAAAACGUUAACGCGUCUUCAGUUGGAAACCAGAUUCGUCGUAUUGUGAUACACAAUAAUCCUAGGGCACACAUGUCUCGGAUAGACCCCGAUGCGGCGCGAAUAGCUGAGUUUUCGGAGUAUCCUGAAAUACUGCUUGCUCACUGGAUGGCCGUAUAUUCUGAUCCUGAAGAGUUGUUUGUGGGCCAAAGAUUCGAAAGUAAGAAAGAAUGCGUAUUUGUCAUUAAGCGGUAUAGCAUGAAUAUAUCAGAAGACUACAAAGUCGUCGUGUCUAAACCAACAUUAUAUAUUGGAGAGUGUUGGAGAUCGGCAGAAGGCUGCAAUUGGCGGAUACGAGCUGCAUUAAUCCAGAAGUCACAGAUGUGAGAUAUACAAAAAUUUGUUGAGCCUCACACAUGCACUUCAACACGUAUGACAGAAGAUCAUUGAAAACUUGACUCCAAAACUAUCUGUACGUGCAUCAUGCCAAUGGUGAAAGACAUGCUGACCAUUAAAGUUUCAGUACUGAUUGCCGAAAUACAUGCACGAUUCCAGUAUCAAGUAUCAUACCGGAAGGCAUAGAUAGCUAAACAGAUGGCAAUGGAGUAAUUGUACGGAGAUUUUGAUGCAUCGUAUAAUGUGUUACAGGGAUGGAUAGCCGCUAUGAGGGAACACAGAUCGGGGACUGUCAUUGAGUUGCAGACACGACCUUAUUACAGGCCGGAUGACCAACUACAAUCGAGAAAAAGAAUUUUCCAUCGGAUGUUCUAGACGUUUGAUCCAUGUAUGCGCACAUUUCCCCACCGUAAAUCAUUUGUGCAAGUAGAUGGAACCUGACUAUAUGGAAAAUACACACAGAUCCUACUUCUUGUGGUUGCUCAAGAUGAAAACAGGAACGUGCUCCUGAUAGAAUUUUCCAUCGUCGAUAAGGAGAACAUGAAAUCAUGGGAGUUCUUCCUUACCAAUCUACAGAGGUAUGUUAUUAGCAACGAUAAUAUUUGUAUCAUCUCUGAUAGAGGGAAAUGAUUAAUUGCAGCCAUUAGGCGUUUCGGUGUACUAUGGAGAUCCGUUUACUACAUCCAGCACAUUGCGACUAACUUCCAACGAGAUUAUAAGAAUGCAGACUGGAAGAGACAAGUUGUGAGAAUGGGUAAAGAAUUACCUUAUCUUUUCAAUAUAAGUUUUAAUGUUUUAGAACAAUACUGUAACUUAUAUUUUCUUAAUACAUAUGCAGCUCACGAGCUAGAACCACACAUUUUUCGCCAAAGAAUGGCUCGACUUGAGAGUGACAUGGAGGGUCAAAUGAACACAUCUUUCCGACAGUGGUUGGGUACCAUGGAGCUGUGACAAUGGGCUCAAAGUUUUGACGAUGGCUUUCGUUAUGGUCAAAUGACCACAAACUUGGUAGAGGAAAUCAACGCUGUGUUAUUAAAAACACGACAUCUUCUAAUUUCAUCUGUCUUCUCAGCUACGUUCUACAGGUUGGCUACCUUGAUGCCAAGAAUGGGUCAACAACAAGUCAACCAGAUGGAGGUAGGACAUGUGUUUGUUGAAGAUGUUAAGGAUGCAAUGAUUGCAAACCGUCGGAUGGCGAGGUCGAUGACAGUAGAAGUAUAUUCACGACGAAUAAAACGUCUCGAGUUACAGAGACCAUCGGUCGUCAACUCGGUAUACCAUUUAGGUCCUACGGAGUUGAUCUCCGAAACAGACGGUGCGACUGUAGGAGGUUUCAAACACUUCAUUAUCCAUAUGCACAUAUCGUGGCAGCUUGUGCUAAAGUUGUGCUCAAUGUAGAACAAUUUAUCGAUGAAGUGUACACCAUUGGACGCACACUGCGUGUAUGGGAAAACGAGUUCCCCGUGCUUCCUGACCUAUAUACUUGGGAUGUACCUCCAACGACCUUCGAGCUUGUCCCAGACAAAGGGUUGCAUAGGAACCCGAAAGGUCACCCGCAAUCAUCCAAAAUCCAUAACGAAAUAGACAUUAGGAAGAAAUCCAACGAGAAGCUGUAUGGCAUAUGCAGAUUAGCCGAUCAUAAUCGGAGUAAAUGCCCGCUCCUAAACUACCAUGUUGGACAAUCGUCUCAAUCGAGUAGAAAUUGAGAUGUAAUUCAUUACAUGUUGAGAGGAUUGAAUCACAAAUUUGUCUACAAUUUGUUGCAGUUAAUCUAAUUUGAAAUUGCAAAAUAAAAAAAAAACCAUAAAAUUUAACUAAGUAAAAAGGCAAAAAAAUCAUUAUAUAAAUACAAAGUUGACCAUUUAAAUUGCAAAAAAUUAAAUUAAAUUGAUAAAUAAAAUGCCAAAAAAAUUCAUUACAUAAAUAUGAAGUUAUUUAUAUUACAAAACCCCAUAAAAUUGAUGGUUUGAUGGUGUGGUUCUAGGGGUAUAUUUUUGUGGAGCUUGAUGUUCACAUUGCGGGUGAUUACAGUGAUCAACGUUCUCAUCAUCCGUAUGUAGGGGUGAUGAAAAAUCAUAUGUCUCAAAUGCCAUCGAUGAACUUCAGCUGAGAGGAGUGGAGUACGGCGGUGAAUACGAGCCGAAAGGAGCGGAGUACUGAUGUGGAUACAAGCCCGGGAAAUAGUCAUCACCCCUAAAUAUGGAUGAUAAGAACUAUCCCUAGAAUGUAGUUCCGUCUCUGUCUCUGCCUCCGACUCCAGCUCUGGCUCUGGCUCUGGUGCAUGAUGCGGAUCUGGAAAGGGUUGCUCAAUUCGUGUCGUAUACAGAGAGACUACCAUCGACCGCCCACCAAAUAGAAAUGCUUUCCCUAUCUCACAAAACUACUGUAUGUACUCUAACGAGUGCUGCAAAUCCAAAGCACGAUCCAGCUGAGGUACCCUCCCCAAUCGGUUGUUCCAUAUCAUAAUAUAUUCUUCAUGCACUUCUCCCCAAUCAUUUCCAUACCUCCUCCUCCUGGUCAUCCCAUGGAUCUCCCCUAAUUGUACUGGCAGUGUCGGGAUAUACUGUAUGCAACCGAACUGCCGGAGUACUCGAUUGCCAUGAUACCACUCUACUACCUGAAAAUUGAUAACGGGUGCGUUAAUGCACCAUAGGUUUGAGUGGACUUGGGAAGAUGAGGGGAUAACUGCCAUAAUUUCUAGAACAGAAUACGACAUCCAAAUGAACUGCACAGUUAAUAACAUUGUUAUAUUAAUGCGGGUCGAGUGAGAUAAAAUAAUAAAAUUAAGUUUAUAUUGGAAAAACUUACCCCUUUUCCAGCAUGAUUAUUAAUCAUCAGACGGUAUAUCAGAACCGUGUAUGACCUCCCGAUACCCGGAUUAGUACUUCAUCUACGAAAACAAAUUGUUAGAACAAUAUAAUCUGAAAAAAGUCAACUAAUUCUUAUAAUGAGUAAAAAUUCAUCACCUAUUAACGAGUGGAAAUAUAUAUGAUUAGUGACUAAUGGAUGCCAAGAAUAGCAUCCGGUAAAGUGCCCACGACUGCAGCAGUAUGAAGCAUCCGCCUAUGUCCAUCGCAGAAGGAUCUGUUGUCCGAAAAAGUUCGCGAUACAGCAUGGCUAAAACUGCGGACCCCCAACUAUAUGAACGGGUGUUAUGCAAAUUGGAUAAUAAUGGUAAGUACAUCAAGUGGAUUGUAUUUCCGUUUGCAUCCGGCAUGAGUACACCCCCUAUAAGGUGUAUAAUGUAAGCUCGAACGGCUUGCAUCACCUCCCAUUUAUUGGUAGUACUCGUCAAAUGCUCAAAAUUGGCCUUUAGCCAUGAAAAUCUCAAACUGGUAAAUUUCCCCUCACUUGGCGAGCGUCCAAGUAAUUCAUAGCAAAUGGUAGCCGGCCUAGAGAUUGAACUUACACCCGUAACCGCAUUCCCGUCGAUGGGAAGCCCAAGCUAUAGUGCAACAUCCUCUAGAGUGACAGUACACUCCCCGUACGGCAAAUGAAAUACGUGGGUCUCUGGACGCCAUCGCUCGACUAAAGCGGAAAUCAAGUCGUAUCACAGAUCAAAAGUCCGGAUCAAUGCCGCUGAUCUGAACCCGGCUAACUCUAAGUAUGGUAUUAGGCGUUCAUUUGGCAGAAACCCUACACUAUUAACACGGCCCCUCAAUACGCGGUACGGACCCUGACAUUAUUAAAUUAGCAAAAUAGUUAAUACAAUAUAAUUUAAUUUAGCAAAUAACAAGAGUAUCAAAUAAAAAUUUUAUUAUCAUCUUAUUAAUAGUACUUGAUAUGUGAUUAUUAUUAUUAUUAUUAUUAUUAUUAUUAUUAUUAUUAUUAUUAUUAAUAAAAGAACUCAUUUGCUGCAAAUCUGCAAUUAAAAAAAUGAAUUCAUUUAAUUUGUUUCAAAAAAUACAAUAAAUUAUUUCAAAUUUCAAAAACAAAACACGGUAAAUAUCUAAUAAUUUCCCAUAAUUUACCUACAAUAAAAAUUUUAUGUUAGAUUACAAAAAUAAUAUAAUUAAAAUUAAUAUAAACUAUGUAAACAUAAAAACAUACGAAUUAAAAAAAUAAAAAUAGAAAUAGAUACAUACCUGAGUAGUUUAUUUCAAGCAACCUAUAAAAUUAUAUAACAAAAAAUUUAAUCAACAUUUUAAUAAAUCAAUAAAAAUUGUUAAAUAAAUAAAAAAUCAAAUAAAAUUACAUUAUAUAAAAAUUACAUUAUAUAAAAUUACAUUAUAUAAAAAUAUUCAUAUCCUAUAUUUUUUCACACAGCCAAAACUCUACUCCCACUGCUCAAAAUAAGAAUAUAAAUUAUGAGUUUUGGGAAACGCUUUUAAUUGAUACUAUUAAUGUAUUAUUAUCAAUUUUUUUAAUUUUUUUAAGUUGCUGUUAAGUAUUGGUAUGUUAAUAAUUGAUUUAUAUUCUUCAAUAUUUCUACAAUCAUUUUUUUAUAAAAAUAAUUUUAAAGUAUAUAAAUUUAUGAAAAGAGUCAGUUAUGAUUAAACUUUGACAAAUUGAUAUCCAAGUUGAUAUAAAAAAAAUUAAAUGAGUUAACAACAACUAUAUGAUUAAAAGAGUCAGUUAUGAUUAAACUUUUAAUGAAAUGAUUUUUAAUUUUUUUAUAAACUUAUAUGUUAAACUCACCAAAUACUAAACUAAACACAACAAUUUAUAACAUAAUCCUAAAUUACUAACAAAUUAAUUUUAAAAUAAUUAUAAAAAGCAAAAAAAAUACAUUCAUACAAAAUACUAAUCCAAAACUAUAAAAACAACAUAAAUAAUUUAUAAUUAAUAAUUAAUAACAAAAAAAUCACAAUAUCUUAAUUAAACUCUUUAAAUUAUAAAUAAAAUUAUUUAUUAAAAUAAUACAUUACCUUUUUUUUUCUUCUCCUUUCUCUCUUUUCUUUCUCUCUUCCGGUGGAUACAUGGGGUUUUGGGGACCAUGCUUAUAAGGUCCCCCAUUUGUAACUUUUUCCCAUUGAAGGGACAGCAGCCUGGUGGAAGGGAUAGCAGCAUGGUGGUGCAGCAACAGCUGCCAACAGCGGGGGAGAGGGCAUUCGCGCCUACCUUUAAGGUGCGAUUAGUCGCGCCUAUCUGACAGGCGUGACCCGUUUUUUACCCGUAUUUUGACCUGUUGAUCGUUUUUUUACCUGUAUUUAUAUUUAAAUAUUUUUAAUAAAAAUAAAAAAAUUAAUAUUUUAUUUAAACCAAAAAAUUAAUAUAAAAAAUUGAUUCGCGCCUGUCAGAUAGGCGCGAUUAAAAAAAUAUACCAUUUCGGUAAUUAAUCUAGCUGACAACCUAUUUACGUACUUAAAAUUUUUUAAAUAUUUUUGGGUAAAAAAACCCUAUCAAAAACGCUUUAAGUAGGAUGCACUGUCAGCAAAAUUACUGAAAAAAGCUCCCACAUGGACGCUCUUUUUCUACAGUAGUUCCUAAAAAAUAAUUUUGAGAAAAUGGUUCUAAAAAAAUAGUGUCAAAAACGCUUUAAGCAGGAUGCACUAUCAGCAAAAUUACUGAAAAAAGGUCUCACGUGAACACUUUUUUCUAUAGUAGUUCUUGAAAAAAUAAUUUUGAGAAGACGGUUCUGAAAAAAUAGUGUCAAAAACGCUUUAAGCAAGAUGCACUGUCAGUAAAAUUACUUAAAAAAACUCCCACGUGGAUGCUCUUUUUCUACAUUAGUUCUUGCUUGGCCUUAGGCUAUAAAUGAGUCAAAUUUCAUUCUCAUGUUGCAUAAGUUACAGCAAGAAAAAUUAAAGAGGCUUAGCAGAAUAGAAAUUGAAGAUGAGUGAAAGUAUUAGUGCUGUUAUUUACUAUAAUAGUGAAGUCCAUGACACCAAGAACGGCGUUGUUUUUUAUCAGAGAAUACAACAUGACUGGUUUUUAACCAGAACAUAGAUUUGACAGAACUUUGUAAAAGACUUAGGCGCAAAAUCUUUGGAACGACGCCAAUGAGAGUUUCGUCUAUUAAGUAUCGAUUUUGUGCUUCAGUUGAUCCCGUAACAUAUGACUCAUUUGAUAUCAAAGGUGAUCGUAGCUUGGAGGCGAUGGUGCAGACUCAUCUCGCUAGUAAAUCACCCUAUCUUGAGUUAUAUGUACAAUUUUUAUCGCCAAAUGAAGCAUUUGCGACUUCAACAUCUACUGCUGUUCGAGAGGAAUACACGAUCCCUAUCCGACACUCCAUUGGUGGGAGGUAGAACACGGAAGCACCCGUGUUUGGUGGCAGUAUGGAAUACACAAAUUCUGUACGACACUCGGUUAGUGGAUGGGAUAUACACCUUAAUGGGUCGAUGUUCGAUGCUGGAAAUACAUACUAGGGAAUGACAUCAACUUUUAGUGGUUGGCAAUCCACAUCUGAUUGGGGACGUUACGAAACGUCCACAAGAAGGGACAAUGUACUCCUUACGACAUCCACUAGCGAGGGGACCUCAUACAUUGCAAAUGAUGAUGGGUUGGAUGAUGAAUCCGAUAUGGAUCCGCCUCAAGAGCCCAACCCUGAUAGCGCAGAAGUUGCAUUAUUUUCUAAACUGAAGCCUGUUCCAACCGAACUUGUAGACGGUGAAGGGGGUUCAGAUGAAAAAGAAGAAGAUCCGCAAUUCAGGGUGUACUCACCUCCAGCCAACAUGCAUAAUGUCGAUCUAACGGCAGAUGAUGCAUUAGAGUUUCCAGAUCUACCAUAUAAAAUGCGUGACCGUACAAGUUCGUCAUUGGAUUCGGGUGAAUUGGAAGUUGGUAAGGAGUUUUCCAAUAAGGAUAGUUUUCUUGGUGUAUUGAAACAACAUAGCAUCAUGAACGGGGUUAACUACCAUGUGGUUAAAUCCAAAUCCGAGAAGUUCUAUGCCAAGUGUACAGUGUAAGACAAUACAUGUUCAUGGAAAAUCAUGGCUUCGGUUAGUAAAAAGACAAGCUUGUGGGAGAUAAAAAAGUAAAAAAGUCUAUAUACUCGUGUUAUCGGUAUAGUAUCACUGGGUGUUUAGGGUUUUUGAAUAAUACUGGUAUUACUUAAUGUUGCAUUAUUUAACGUACUUCGUUGACAGAUGUUUCACAAUAUCAUCCCAAGAUGGAUUCAGAUAUGAUAGCUAGCUUAAUACUACCGAUUGUGAUGGCGGAUCCUAAGACUUCUAUGUCGGUCUUAAUUACCAAUAUUGGUAGCCAAUUGAGGUACACUCCCUCUUACUGCAAGGCUUGGAUAACUAAGCAGAAGGUGUUGGAAAAUAUGCAUAGUGGGUGAGACACUUCAUAUAAUGAGGUGUGGCAGUGGUGUUAGGUGCUGGAGAGGUACGUCCCAAGUUGCGUAACAGACCUUGAAACUGGCCCUGCGUACUACGACGACUACUUCCUCCGUGGAUGCCAAGUGUUCCAACAUCUAUUCUAGAUCUUUAAGCAAUGUCUGGAUGCAUUUGUGUAUUGUAAGCCAUUGAUACAAAUUAACAGUACCUUUAUGUAUGGUAGAUAUACCUAUCGGCUAUUGCUAGCUGUGGCACAAGAUAACAGUGGGAGAAUCCUUCCAAUUGUGUUUGCAAUAACACCGGGGGAGUCAGGUGAUGACUGAGAUUUCUUUCUUUCUAGGUUAAGGAGGCAUGUCUGCGCCCAACCUGAUAUCUGCGUUAUAUCAGAUCGAUGCACUGGAAUACUAGCAGCAAUUGAGUGAUAGAGAAGCCUAUGGGAUCGCACAUACCAUCGGUAUUAUCUAAGGUACAUUGUGUCCAACUACUAUGGGUAAUAUCGGUCUACCGCUGAACGACGACAAGUAACCAACAUGGGUAUUUAAUCUCUAUUAAUAUAAUCUCGUUUGUAAUAUUCAAUUUAUUCUGAAUAGAAGUGUUAUGUAAUUUUCGUUAUCAACUUAUAUUAACAAGGUACGAGAUCAAUAAAGACCAUUUUCAUGAGAUGUUAGCGAUUUUGCGGUCAGUUAACGAUCAAUGCGCAAACUACCUUUAUAACAUACCUUUCAAUCAGUAGACACAAGCAUACGACGGUGGCCUACGAUAUGGUCAUAUGACCUCAAACCUGGUCAUAUGAACACACUGAUGAAUUUCGGGUCCAACUUGCACCCCCGACCUAUAUUAGCCACGUGCCAAAAACUCGCUUCCCUGAAGUAAUUUUCUAUCAAAGAUGAUGGAGGGCUAGACAUAUUACAAAUAUAACACUAUAACACCCGAUCUACAGGCUGUUAUAAAAAAUUAUAAAAUUUAAUUUAAUUAAAAUUACAUAAAUAAAAAAUAUUAAAUAAUAUUCAAAAAUUAAAAUUAACCCUUACCAUUUUUAUUUGUUCGACAGAGAUAUGUUUAUAAUCGAGACGAAUUAAUUCCCCGGCCAUUCCUAACACGAUCAAAUAUUUUUGAAAUUAUAAAAAAAUAAUACUAAUUUAGAAAAAAAUUAAAGGAAAUAAUUAAUUAAAGAGAGCUUUGAGAAAUUUAAGGAGAAAUUUGAGAGCUUUUUUGAGAAAUUUGGAAGAAAUGUUGUAUGAAAAAAAUAGGAGGGGGGUUUUGUAGUUUUUUUAUUACCAUUGGACUCCCCAACGGUCAAAAUUUUAAAUGACCGUUGGUAAAAAACAUGGGCUAAAACGCAUCCCUGAGGGAGAGAUUUUGCCAUGUCAGCAAAGCGCGUCCACGACAGCGCGUUUUAUGCUGAGAUAGCAAAAUCGCUCCCUUAGGGACGCAUUUUGUUGGAAUUUCCCCCUAAAACACUCCUAUGUAGACGCGUUUUAGAGUUUUCGGCCCAUUCCGGUAAAUAAAUAAAAAAGUGGCCCAUUUCCGUAAAUAAAAUUAGAAAUAGACCUUUAUUGGUAAAAUAGUCGUGAAAGUUAAUAACUGGUAUAAUUAUUUUCUUUCAUAGAGUAAAGAAAUUCUUAUUAAAUAUGAUGUACUGUCAAUUCCUACUUAUGCCAUAUCCUGUUUUCUCCUUCCUAAAGCUUUGUGUGAUCAGUUCAGCUCCGUUAUGGGCAAGUAUUGGCAGCAAAAAGGGCCUCCUAAAUGAGGUAAUCACUGGGUGCAAUGGUCUAAGCUUUAUGUUCCUAAAUUGUUUAGUAGGCUUGGAUUUGGUGUCAUGGCUUGGUUUAAAAUUCCUUUACUUGCUAAACAAUGAAGAAUUAUGAUUAAUCCGGAUUUUUUAUUCUCAAUUUUUCAAAGUUAAGUAUUUUCUUGAUUCUAUUUUUUUAAGUUCUUCAUUAAGUAAUAAUCUGUGUCUUACCUUUUGUCUCAUGUUUAUAUUGUAGGGACAUCGUAGUCCAGUUAUUUUGAAAAAUUAUCUUUAAACCCGAUCAAUCAAUAAGGAAACAUCAUUAGUUGUUGUCUAUAGAAAACUAAACUAGAAGUUAUGGCUCAAUCGAUUGAGACUAUUCCACUAUGUCAUUUACAACAUUGUUCCAACCAAAGUAAUCAAUUUCGCAUCGGUUUUGACGUAUCUAGUGAUGUUCAUCAUUCUAGUAGUAAACUAAACAUCCAACUCUCUUGUUGCAUGGUAACACCUCAUCUAAAAUAAUAGCCAACGGACAAUGACCUACACCUUGGUUGCUGUUCUAGUUCUAGCCAUUUGCCACCAUACAACCUGGGGGCUGAACCAGCAAUGAGCCCCGGCACCACGGCUGCACCAGCAGUGCUGCCACGUGCAGCCGGAGAAAACCUGGAAGCCCACAACCAAGCAAGAGCUGCGGUAGGGGUCGGACCUCUCAAGUGGAGCAAGCAACCGCAAGGUACCAAAGUAACAAAAUGGUUUAUUGGUUUGCAAGCAUGACAAAUCAUAAGUACGGAGCAGACCAGCUAUGGGGUAGCAGAGCCACUACGUCACAUGGUGGUUGAGACAUGGGUGAAAGAGAAGGGUUACUAUGAUUAUGCCACCAACACUAGAACCAAUUUUGUUUCCAUUUGCUUUCGAUUCAUGUGCUUAAAACUUUUGGGGUUUUAUGGUUGAUGUGAAAAUCGGAAUCUGAGACUGAGAGUUUUAAUUGUUGUGCUUUCCGCUUAAUUGUCAAAAACAGGAAUGGCAGGCUUAGUGGGCUGCAGUAAUGGGCCUCCAUUGUGUUCUUUGUGAUUCAGAAAGGGGAAUUGAGGUUCUAAACAACAGAUGUGGAUUCUGUUUGUUUCUGGGGCUUAAUGAUCCAUGUUUCUGUUUGUUUCUCGAGAAAAUUUGCUUACAAAUUUCUCAAGGAAACUGCAAGUUUUGACAUGUCAGUAAGGAUAUAACCUUGUCUUACACAUCUCACGUUCAAUCAACGAGUAUCAGAGAUUAAACAAUAGGAAGAAUUGUUCAAACUUUAUACAACAGAGAGCAAAAACUACAGAGAUUAGAGAAUGUCACAAAUAAGGCUGAGACACUAUUACCAGAAAAAGGCAAUCCAUGCAUUAAAAAAAACUGCUAAAUAACAUUCCUAGGCUAAGCUAUCAACCUAUGAACCACGAUGGGAACAUCAAAGGGGGAAAAAUUCGAUGGCAAGCUCUGCCCAAAAGCAGACUUAGCCACUCGAGAUAGAAGAAAAAGAAUUGGGAGAUUGAAGAGAGGUUAAAAAGAGAUGAGUAAAUACGUUGCAUGCUUUCAUCCCAUUUCGAAAGAACUACAAUAGGUACAAUCUGGCUUGGUUGAAAAUUCUGUUGUACUCCAAUUGAUAGUGGUUCGGCAGUUUACAGUGGCCCUAGUGCAAGAACCACCAGAUAAAAAUAUAGAACUGUUAGAAGCAAGCAAGAGUGCCAGAUUUAGUCCCAUGAUUGGUUUGGAAGUAAAUCUCCUAUUAUGUUAGAGCUUGGUAUCCGCAUUUGUGAACUCGAAAAGAAAAAUUUAGACGCCAUAGAGAUCCCAUUAUGCUCACUGAGGGUUUAGUAAAGGCGGCCCCGACAUGUAGAAGCUCCACAUUGACAUGGAUAUCCUUGUCCAGGAAGCAGUUCAUAUUGAUAGUCAAGAGUCAGCUCUUCACCUACAGAUAUCUGCAAAAUUGUGAAAUGAAAGGCUGGCUAGGUUCAAUACAUUUAUAACACUGGAACAAUAAAUACUUAAUGGUUUUAUAUAUACAUAUAUAUAUUUUUUGAGACUAGCCACUCAAUUAAACUCAGCCACCUAAACCACAUCUUAUUCCACAAACCAUUUUCAACAAUAGAUCAUCCAAGAUUCCAUAUAUGCAACAGAUUUGUACUCUAUAUUUUUUAGAUGCGCUUACAUCUUGACUGGCAUAGAGACCAAUGUGAGCUCGGUGACAAUCCAUGCUGUCCACAAGAACUUGACGAUUCACAAGAUUUGGCGAGCAGCUGAGAAGAAUUCAAGGAAAGAAAGCGAAGAAAUAAUCAUGAGUGCAUCAAUAGGAAUUUGGGAUUUCAAAAGUAGAGAUUUGGUAUCACUUUUUAAAUACAGCAAGUUGAGCUGAACCACUUGGCUAAACUAAUUACUCCAAAGAUGUCGUAAGUGCUAAAGACCCUAUUACAUAUAAUUAGAAAAGGGUGAACGUAUUUAAAAUCUCAGGAUCUUCAGUUACACAAUUUUUAUGGCCAAGUUAUAAUUUGGAAAUGUCAGAAUCAAGAGAAUGGGAAAACAUUUCAGUAUAAGAUAGCGGAUGCAUACAAGUGUAUCCUCACCUAUGAUUGAUGAACCGAGAAACAUUUCCAUAUUUGGAUGCAUCAAUAAAAUAUCGCGCUUGUCCUUCAAUCAAUCGGCUCAUAUCAUUUAUAUGACAAUCAACGUUAAACAUAUAGUUGCAACCAUUUCUACCAUACCUGAUAUUAGAUCAUACAGCCAAUUCAGCAUAAAAGCAAGCACAAGGUAACAGCAGAUCUCUGUAAAUCAAAUUGAAACCUGGUAAGCCUAUAGUUUGCCUCCUGCUUGCCUAAGAUCCCAACAUACUCACACACAAAUGUGCCACUCAGAAUUGGUUCACCAGCCCUGAUUCCCCAGCCCUGAAGAUCAACAUGGAGCGAACUCAAAGGACAGACUCUAGAAUACAAGGAAAAGUUGAAAUAAUUACCUUAUUCUCGGUUUUGAAGACUUCCAGUUUUACUCGUACACCUUUUUGCAAAACCCUAUUUGGGCAUGCUUUAUUGCAGCUACACAUACGAUUGCAUUCAUAGACAAGGUAGCCCUCCUGCACAGUUUCACAAAGGUUUAAUCUCGAGUCAUAAACCAGAAUCAAGGUUCACAGGAAGAUACCAACAAGGCUAUUUAUCAGUAUCUACUUGUGAAAAAGGGCAUAUAUCUCUAUAAUGUUCUGAAUGGCGAAGGCGAAACGUUGCAAGUCUAAAAGGGAAAAAAAAUCAUAUUGGACUCUUAUGGGUAUCAUAUCAAGUCAAUAGUGCAUUCCCUUGACAAGCUAAUAGCACAUGCUCUUUUAUAUGUGAUUUGAGAAACACCACAAGCAACCAAGCAACAUGACACUUUAGUGAAAAUUAAUAAUGGUUGACACUUGACUGAAAAGAAUUACAGUACCUCCAAGAUAAUUCGCCCUUUGUCAUCAUAAGGAAAUCUACCACGCAUGGGUUUACCAUAUAUGUCUCUUGCAUCUUCAUAAUCGUUAUCAAAGAGAUAUACAUGAUCACAUGUCUCAGGAUAGCAUGUUGAAUUGGAACAGGUGCACCCAAGUUGCAUACUCUGAAAAGAUAUGUAAGUAAUUAGAAGGAAAAACAAAACAAAACAAAACAUAUGAGUUAAGCCAAUCCAAGCAAUGUACAAUAUAUCCCAUCAUGUGACAGGUGAGAUACAAUCCAUAUGAAACAAGGAUGCUGCUGCAAGGCACUUCAUGAUAUUAUCAAACAAAACCCAGAAAUCUCAAGGAAAGAGAAUUGUCAAGAAUCCUAAGAAUAGCUUAUGGUUGCAAGGUCACUUUGACAUGCAAUCAAAGUAAACUCCACUGAGGAAUAAUUGUAAGGCACCUAUAUGUUGUAGCAAUGGAGAAAAUAAUAAAAUAAUCUAAAUACGAAGGUACCUCAACAUCAAGAUCAAGGGAUUGAUCAAGCAAAGAAUUUGUAACAUAAGUGAAGUUCUCCCAAGGCAUGGAGGGUCCAGCAUUUUGCUCGUUGAAACUAAGACCAGAGAUGUUAAGAGAAUCAAAAAGACCUUCAUCUACAACACAAGCUACUGGAACUGAUUCUUUCCCAAAGCUUAAAUCAUCACACAGGACACUGGCCUUCUGCGUGGGCCCUUUUUUAAAAUGUUGUGAAUCGAUGAUAUAGUGACAUUCAUCCAGUUCCAACUCCUCAUCUACAUCUUCCAAGGAAUCUGCUGAUUGGUGACCCUCGAAACCAUUAGGGAGAGGAAUCAAUGGGGGCAGAAAAUCUGAAUCCUUGGCAGGCUUACAUCCAUUUAUGCACACAAAUUUCUCUUGAUGCCACUCGACUUGAACGUUAUGCUCACUGCAAAGCUUGGCUGCCUUAAGGUACAAACAUUCAGGUAACAUGCCAUACUUCUCUUCCAAUGAGGCUUUGAGGCUCACUUUGCAACACGAAGAGCGAGCAAUAGACAGAAUGUCCAAGUUAUUAGGCCGUGGUUUUGUUUUAUGAGUUCUGGAAAACA